GACUGAGUGGCGGACGGGUGAGUAACGCGUGGGUAACCUGCCUCAUACAGGGGGAUAACAGUUAGAAAUGACUGCUAAUACCGCAUAAGCGCACAGUACCGCAUGGUACCGUGUGAAAAACUCCGGUGGUAUGAGAUGGACCCGCGUCUGAUUAGCUAGUUGGUGGGGUAACGGCCUACCAAGGCGACGAUCAGUAGCCGACCUGAGAGGGUGACCGGCCACAUUGGGACUGAGACACGGCCCAAACUCC
rnacentral:rRNA from 1 species